rnacentral:rRNA from 1 species
AAAUUGAAGAGUUUGAUCAUGGCUCAGAUUGAACGCUGGCGGCAGGCCUAACACAUGCAAGUCGAACGGUAACAGGAAACAGCUUGCUGUUUCGCUGACGAGUGGCGGACGGGUGAGUAAUGUCUGGGAAACUGCCUGAUGGAGGGGGAUAACUACUGGAAACGGUAGCUAAUACCGCAUAACGUCGCAAGACCAAAGAGGGGGACCUUCGGCCUCUUGCCAUCGGAUGUGCCCAGAUGGGAUUAGCUAGUAGGUGGGGUAA